rnacentral:rRNA from 1 species
GAGUAACGCGUGGGAACGUGCCCUUUGCUACGGAAUAGUCCCGGGAAACUGGGUUUAAUACCGUAUGUGCCCUACGGGGGAAAGAUUUAUCGGCAAAGGAUCGGCCCGCGUUGGAUUAGGUAGUUGGUGGGGUAAUGGCUCACCAAGCCGACGAUCCAUAGCUGGUUUGAGAGGAUGAUCAGCCACACUGGGACUGAGACACGGCCCAGACUCCUACGGGAGGCAGCAGUGGGGAAUCUUAGACAAUGGGGGAAACCCUGAUCUAGCCAUGCCGCGUGAGCGAUGAAGGCCUUAGGGUUGUAAAGCUCUUUCAGCUGGGAAGAUAAUGACGGUACCAGCAGAAGAAGCCCCGGCUAACUCCGUGCCAGCAGCCGCGGUAAUACGGAGGGGGCUAGCGUUGUUCGGAAUUACUGGGCGUAAAGCGCGCGUAGGCGGAUUGUUAAGUCGGGGGUGAAAUCCCGGGGCUCAACCCCGGAACUGCCUUCGAUACUGGCAAUCUUGAGGUCGAGAGA